rnacentral:rRNA from 1 species
CCUACGGGAGGCAGCAGUGAGGAAUAUUGGUCAAUGGGCUUACGCCUGAACCAGCCAAGUCGCGUGAGGGAAGACUGCCCUAUGGGUUGUAAACCUCUUUUAUAUGGGAAUAAAAUGUUCCACGUGUGGGAUUUUGUAUGUACCAUAUGAAUAAGGAUCGGCUAACUCCGUGCCAGCCGCCGCGGUAAUACGGAGGAUCCGAGCGUUAUCCGGAUUUAUGUGGUUUAAAGGGAGCGUAGGUGGAUUGUUAAGUCAGUUGGGAAAGUUUGCGGCUCAACCGGAAAAUUGCAGUUGAAACUGGCAGUCUUGAGUACAGUAGAGGUGGGCGGAAUGCGUGGUGUAGCGGUGAAAUGCUUAGAUAUCACGAAGAACUCCGAUUGCGAAGGCAGUUCACUGGACUGCAACUGACACUGAGGCUCGAAAGUGUGGGUAUCAAACAGGAUUAGAUACCCUAGUAGUC